UUAGGCUUUGGUUCCCCCACAGGUAGCUUCGCUGUGUGGGGGGGCCUGUUUUCCACCAUCGACUGUGGUCUGGUGCGGCUUCGGGGCAAGGAAGAUCCCUGGAACUCCAUCACCAGUGGUGCACUGACUGGGGCUGUGCUGGCUGCCCGCAGUGGCCCAUUGGCCAUGGCGGGCUCGGCAAUGAUGGGGGGCAUCCUGUUGGCCCUCAUCGAGGGUGUUGGCAUCCUUCUCACUCGCUAUACUGCCCAGCAGUUCCGCAAUGCACCCCCGUUCCUGGAGGACCCUGGCCAGCUGCCCCCUAAGGAGGGUACCCCGGGCCCAGGCUACCCCAGCUAUCAGCAGUACCACUGAGGAAGUGACCGCCUAUCACCGCCACUGUGGGAGCUCCUCCUCGGUCCCCUCCCCGAUGAUCUACCUCGAAGGGAGGGCUGGCUCCCAGUUGGCCUAUGGGACCCUUGAGAGGGCCUCUAUCUGUUCUCUUAUCCCCGGUUGGGGGUGGGGCACCCCAGCUGCCCUGAUGGAUGGGUCCCUUUUCUCUCAGGGCACCCCAAUCCCCACUCAUAUAUGUAACACGCUGUCACCCCAAUCCCUUUGCAUGGCGCUCUGAUGAGUAUUUAAAGCCAGUUUUGAAAAAAAAAAAAAAAUCAGCAAGGAGGU